CAAGUCGUACGCGAAAGAGGGAGCAAUCCCUUGAGUAGAGUGGCGAACGGGUGAGUAACGCGUGAGAAACCUGCCCUAAGCAGGGGGAUAACACUCCCAACGGGGUGCUAAUACCGCAUGAGACCACGGGAUCGCAUGAUCCUGAGGUCAAAGGUGGCCUCUGCUUGCAAGCUACCGGCUUAGGAUGGUCUCGCGUCCCAUUAGCUAGUUGGCGGGGUAAUGGCCCACCAAGGCGACGAUGGGUAGCUGGUCUGAGAGGAUGGUCAGCCACACUGGGACUGAGAUACGGCCCAGACUCCUACGGGAGGCAGCAGUCGAGAGGCUUCGGCAAUGGGGGAAACCCUGACCGAGCGACGCCGCGUGAAGGAUGAAGGCCCUUGGGUUGUAAACUUCUUUUGUUCGGGAAGAAAUGCGAUCAGGUAAAUAAUCUGGUCGUUUGACGGUACCGGACGAAUAAGCUCCGGCUAACUCCGUGCCAGCAGCCGCGGUAACACGGGGGGAGCAGGCGUUGUUCGGAAUCACUGGGCGUAAAGGGCGUGUAGGCGGUCAAGUAAGUGGAAUGUGAAACGCCUCGGCUUACCCGAGGACCUGCAUCCCAAACUGCUUGGCUUGAGUAUGGGAGAGGAUGAGGGAAUUCCUGGUGUAGCGGUGAAAUGCGUAGAUAUCAGGAGGAACACCGGUGGCGAAAGCGCUCAUCUGGCCCAAUACUGACGCUGAGGCGCGAAAGCUAGGGGAGCAAACGGGAUUAGAUACCCCGGUAGUCCUAGCCGUAAACGGUGAUCACUAGGUGUUGGAGGCAUCGACCCCUCCAGUGCCGCAGCUAACGCAUUAAGUGAUCCGCCUGGGGAGUACGGCCGCAAGGUUGAAACUCAAAGGAAUUGACGGGGGCCC
rnacentral:rRNA from 1 species